GCCUAGUUAGCUUAGUUGGUAGUGCGUCUGCCUUGUAAGCACUAGGCCGCGGGUUCGAUUCCCACCUGGGGCA
rnacentral:tRNA from 1 species